rnacentral:rRNA from 1 species
CAGUCGCCGCGGGAAUACAGAGGGUGCGAGCGUUAAUCGGAUUUACUGGGCGUAAAGCGUGCGUAGGCGGCUAAUUGAGUCGGAUGUGAAAUCCCCGAGCUUAACUUGGGAAUUGCAUUCGAUACUGGUUAGCUAGAGUGUGGGAGAGGAUUGUAGAAUUCCAGGUGUAGCGGUGAAAUGCGUAGAGAUCUGGAGGAAUACCGAUGGCGAAGGCAGCCAUCUGGCCUAACACUGACGCUGAGGUACGAAAGCAUGGGGAGCAAACAGGAUUAGAUACCCGUGUAGUCCCUGUCUCUUAUAC